rnacentral:rRNA from 1 species
GACGAACGCUGGCGGCGUGCCUAAUACAUGCAAGUAGAACGCAGUUGCGAACGGGUGAGUAACGCGUAGGUAACUGCCUCAUAGCGGGGGAUCACUAUUGGAAACGCUAGCUAAUACCGCAUACUUUGAGAUGGACCUGCGUUGUCUUAGCUAGUUGGUGAGGUAAAGGCUAACCAAGGCGAGCAUACAUAGCCGACCUGAGAGGGUGAUGGGCCACACGGGGACUGAGACACGGCCCAGACGCCUACGGGAGGCAGCAUGAGGGAAUCUUUGGCAAUGUACGGAAGUCUGACCGAGCAACGCCGCGUGAGUGAAGAAGGUUUUCGGAUCGUAAAGCUCUGUUGUUAGAGAAGCGGGAUCUAACCAGAAAGGGACGGCGAACUACGUGCCAGCAGCCGCGUAAUUC